GAAGGAUUUUACUCAUCCUGUUCGUUGUGGCGUUAGUGGUCUGUGCCGGUGCAUUUGUGUUCCUAAAUAGAAAGAAGUGUCUGAGCAGACUGUCAAAGAGGAGCUGCUGAUGAAUGAGACACGAGAAACUACGACCACACACAUUCAUGAGACUGAUGCAACUUUAGUCACGAGAGAGCAGUGAGGUCAGACAAGAAGCCACUCCUGAGAGGAAUCAACAAUAACCUGGUGUUGUCUUCAGCAGCAGGAAGACUCAAAUUUGAUGAAAUUGCUGCUGUGACUGCAGCUACUGCUUAAAAAGGGAAAAUAAUCCCAGUCACAGUGUUAUUAAACUAUUAUAUGAUUCUGUUAAAAGUUUAUUUUCUCCCAAAGAUUUACUUUUUCACUUUACGUAUAUUUAUUUUUGCAGAGGUAAUUCAAUAUGUUUAAAUGGUGUGGGUGGUUUUAGUUGCGUGCAGUGGUAGUAUUUCAGAUUCUGACAUACAGGGGUUGGACAAUGAAACU